rnacentral:rRNA from 1 species
CGAAGGGGCUAGCGUUGCUCGGAAUCACUGGGCGUAAAGGGCGCGUAGGCGGCCAUUCAAGUCAGGGGUGAAAGCCUGUGGCUCAACCACAGAAUUGCCUUUGAUACUGUUUGGCUAGAGACCGGAAGAGGUAAGUGGAACUGCGAGUGUAGAGGUGAAAUUCGUAGAUAUUCGCAAGAACACCAGUGGCGAAGGCGGCUUACUGGUCCGGUUCUGACGCUGAGGCGCGAAAGCGUGGGGGAGCAAACAGGAUU